CCUGCGGAGGGAUCAUUACACAACAAAAUAUGAAGGCCUGGCUUUCGCGGCCGGCUGAAGUAUUUUUUUCACCCAUGUCUUUUGCGCACUUGUUGUUUCCUGGGCGGGUUCGCCCGCCACCAGGACCAAACCAUAAACCUUUUUUUCUUAUGCAGUUUCCAUCAGCGUCAGUAAAAACAAUGUAAUUAUUACAACUUUCAACAACGGAUCUCUUGGUUCUGGCAUCGAUGAAGAACGCAGCGAAAUGCGAUACGUAGUGUGAAUUGCAGAAUUCAGUGAAUCAUCGAAUCUUUGAACGCACAUUGCGCCCUUUGGUAUUCCAAAGGGCAUGCCUGUUCGAGCGUCAUUUGUACCUUCAAGCUUUGCUUGGUGUUGGGCGUUUUUUUGUCUCCCUCUUUCUGGGAGACUCGCCUUAAAACGAUUGGCAGCCGGCCUACUGGUUUCGGAGCGCAGCACAUUUUUUGCGCUUUGUAUCAGGAGAAAAGGACGGUACUCCAUCAAGACUCUACAUUUUUCACUUUUGACCUCGGAUCAGGUAGGGAUACCCGCUGAACUUAAGCAUA
rnacentral:rRNA from 1 species